GAUGAACGCUAGCUACAGGCUUAACACAUGCAAGUCGAGGGGCAGCAUGGUCUUAGCUUGCUAAGGCCGAUGGCGACCGGCGCACGGGUGAGUAACACGUAUCCAACCUGCCGUCUACUCUUGGACAGCCUUCUGAAAGGAAGAUUAAUACAAGAUGGCAUCAUGAGUCCGCAUGUUCACAUGAUUAAAGGUAUUCCGGUAGACGAUGGGGAUGCGUUCCAUUAGAUAGUAGGCGGGGUAACGGCCCACCUAGUCUUCGAUGGAUAGGGGUUCUGAGAGGAAGGUCCCCCACAGUGGAACUGAGACACGGUCCAAACUCCUACGGGAGGCAGCAGUGAGGAAUAUUGGUCAAUGGGCGAGAGCCUGAACCAGCCAAGUAGCGUGAAGGAGGACUGCCCUAUGGGUUGUAAACUUCUUUUAUAAAGGAAUAAAGUCGGGUAUGGAUACCCGUUUGCAUGUACUUUAUGAAUAAGGAUCGGCUAACUCCGUG
rnacentral:rRNA from 1 species